rnacentral:misc_RNA from 1 species
GGAGUAAAAGUCGUAACAAGGUUUCCGUAGGUGAACCUGCGGAAGGAUCAUUCAUAAUAAGUGUUUUACUGCACUUUUUAAAAAUAGUACUCACCUUGUGUGCAAUGUUGUGUUUCUUUUCGGAGAAACACCUACACCAACCUAUAACCUUGAACCACUUUGUCUGAAAAACUACUAUGAAUACUUAAUUCAAAAUACAACUUUCAACAACGGAUCUCUUGGCUCCC